rnacentral:rRNA from 1 species
UACGUAGGUGGCAAGCGUUGUCCGGAAUUAUUGGGCGUAAAGCGCGCGCAGGCGGCUUCUUAAGUCUGAUGUGAAAUCUCGGGGCUCAACCCCGAGCGGCCAUUGGAAAACUGGGAAGCUUGAGUACAGAAGAGGAGAGUGGAAUUCCACGUGUAGCGGUGAAAUGCGUAGAUAUGUGGAGGAACACCAGUGGCGAAGGCGACUCUCUGGUCUGUAACUGACGCUGAGGCGCGAAAGCGUGGGGAGCAAACAGG